GUAGGAAUGUGGCUCAGUGGUAGAGUGCUUGCCUCUCAUGAAUGAGGCCCUGAGUUCAAUUCUCAUCACCAACA
rnacentral:tRNA from 1 species